rnacentral:lncRNA from 1 species
CUUUCCUUUGUUUUUGUAAUUUAAUUCUUGAAUUCUGAGAAUUGUAAAUUCUAGCUUCUAGAUGUUACAUUUUUAUUUGCAGUUUAUAUGACAUGUUGAGAACGUGAUUGAUAUUGUUUCUUGGCGGGUAAAUGUUAGAUGCAGCCAUUAGUGGGCCAAUCCUUUUUUCUCUCUUUGGUUUAAAAUUGGAAUGCUAACAAUGUGAUGACCCAUCCUUGGCGAUGGGCAACUGUAGUGUAGUUGCAGCCGUGGUGGGUAAAUCAAUUUCUCUUGUCUGGGGGUUUAACUGUAGUUCCACCAAUAAGUGGGCUAGCCAUUUCUUUCUAUCUGUCCUUCGAGUUUUAAAAUUGGAAUACUAAAGAAUGUGAUUGGACCCAUUCCUGGCAAGGCAAAGAUUGUUGCAGGCAAUUGUGGGUAAUUCCUUUCUCUGUCUUUUUAAUUUUAAUUCUUUAAUUCUAAGAAUGUAAAUGUCUAGUUUCUAGAUGUUACAAUAUUUCUUAUUUGAGUGCAGAUGAUAUGUAAAAUAUGAUUGAUAGAUUUCUUGGCAGAGUUAAUGGGUAGUUGCACCCAAUGGUCAAUCCUUUCUUUCUCUAAAAUUUGAAUGCUAAGACUGUGAUUGACCCGUUCCUUGGGCGAACACACUGGAGUUGCACCGUGUAGGUAAUUUCUUUCUCUUUAUUUUUAAAUUAAUUCUUUAAUUCUGAGAAGGUAAACGUCCUAGUUUUCUAUAUGUUACAAUUUUCUUAUGUAGUUUUCCAACAUGACAUAUUGAUAAUGUAUUCAGAUAGUUUUCUUGGCUGGGGUAACUGGUAGUUUCACCCACAGUGGGCCAGUCCUUUCUUUCUCUCUAUCAUUUGAGUUUAACAUUGGAAUUCUAAGAAUGCGUUGGCCUCAUUCCUUGCGGGCAACUGAUGUGCAGCCGCGAUGGGUGUAAAUCCUUUCCUUUGUUUUUGUAAUUUAAUUCUUGAAUUCUGAGAAUUGUAAAUUCUAGCUUCUAGAUGUUACAUUUUUAUUUGCAGUUUAUAUGACAUGUUGAGAACGUGAUUGAUAUUGUUUCUUGGCGGGUAAAUGUUAGAUGCAGCCAUUAGUGGGCCAAUCCUUUUUUCUCUCUUUGGUUUAAAAUUGGAAUGCUAACAAUGUGAUGACCCAUCCUUGGCGAUGGGCAACUGUAGUGUAGUUGCAGCCGUGGUGGGUAAAUCAAUUUCUCUUGUCUGGGGGUUUAACUGUAGUUCCACCAAUAAGUGGGCUAGCCAUUUCUUUCUAUCUGUCCUUCGAGUUUUAAAAUUGGAAUACUAAAGAAUGUGAUUGGACCCAUUCCUGGCAAGGCAAAGAUUGUUGCAGGCAAUUGUGGGUAAUUCCUUUCUCUUUAUUUUUUAAUUUUAAUUCUUUAAUUCUAAGAAUGUAAAUGUCUAAUUUUUAGAUGUAACAAUAUUUCUUAUUUGAGUGCAGAUGAUAUGUUAAAAUAUGAUUGAUAUAUUCUUGGCCAACCCAGAGGUUAAUAGUUUAAUUGUAGUUGCCAAACCAUAGUGGGUCAAUCCUUCUUUCUCUAAAAUUGAAGCUAAGAAUGUGAUUUGAACCGGUCAUUGGCGACACAACUGUAGUUGCAACCGUGGUAGGUAAUUUCUUUCUCUUUAUAUUUUUUACAAUUUAAUUCUUUUAUUCUGAGCAUUAAAGUCGAUUUUCUAGAUGUUACAAUAUUUCUUAUUUGAGUCCCAUGACAUAUUGAGACUGUGAUUCAUAUGUUUCUUGGCUUGGGUAACUGUAGUUCACACUCCACAUGGGCCAAUCUUUCUUUCUCUCUAUCAUUUAGUUUUUAAAAUUGGAAUGCUAAGAAUGUGAUUAACCCAUUCCUUGGCGAGGCAACUAUUGUUGCAAUCGUAUGGGUAAAUACUUUCUCUUUGUUUUUUUGAUUUAAUUUUCGAAUUCGAAAAUGUAAAUGUGUAGUUUUCGAGAUGGUUACAAUAUUUCGUAUUUGAGUUCACAUGAUAAUGCUGAAAUGUGAUUAUAGUUUUUUUUGGCAAGGUAACUGUAUUUUGCAGCCAUCGUGGGUCAAUCCUUUCUUUCUCAUCUUGAUUUAAAAUUGGAAGCUACAAUGUAUUGACCCAUUCCUGUGGUGAGGCACGUAGUUGCUGCCAUGGUGGGUAAAUCAUUACUCUUUGUUCUUUAAUUUUAAAUCUCGAAUACUGAAAAUGUAAUCGUCCAAUUUCUAGAUGUUGCAAUUUUUUUGUUUGAGUUCAUAUGACAUGUUGAGAAUGUGAUUGAUAUAUUUCCUGGCGGGGCUAACUGUAGUUGCACCCACAGUGGGCCAAUCCUUUCUUUCUCUCUGUCAUUUGAGUUCAAAAUUGGAAUGCUAAGAAUGUGAUUAACCCAUUAAUAGGCGAGGCAACUAUUGUUGCAUCCGUUGUGGGUAAACCCUUUCUCAUUAUUUUUUAAUUUUAAUAAUUUAAGUCUGAGAAUGUAAAUGUCGAAUCUCUUGAUGUUCAUAUUUAUGUUUAUGUCCAUGAUAUAUUGAAUGGUGAUUGAAUAGUUUUCUUGGCGAAGUAAUUAUAGUUAAACCAAUAGUGUCCAAUCCUUCUUUCUCGCUAUUUUGAUUUCAAUUGGAAUACUAAGUAAUGUGAUUGCCCUUCCUUGGGGCAGGCAGGGUAGUUUUGCAGCAGCAGCCGUGGUGGGUAAUCAUUUUUUUUUGUUUUUUAUUUCAAAUCUCGAAUGCUGGGAUUUUGAUAUUCUAGUUUCUAAAUGUUACAAUAUUUCUAAUUUCAGUUAACAUGACAUGUACAGAAUGUGAUCGAUAUGUUUCUUGGCGGGGUAACAGUAGUUGCAGCCAUAAAGGGUCAAUCCUUUCUUUCUCUCUAUCAUUUGAGUUUAAAAUUGGAAUACUAAGAAUGUGUUUGACCCAUUCCUUAGCGAGGCAACUGUAGUUGCAGCCGUGGUGGGUAAAUCAUUUCUCUUUGUUUUUUAAUUUUAAAUCUUGAAUACUGUGAAAGUAAUUGUCUAGUUUCUAGAUAUUACAAUAUUUUUUAUUUGAAUUCACAUGACAUAUUGGGAAUGUGAUCGAUAUGUUUCUUGGAUAGGGUAACUGUAGUUGCACCCAUAGUGGGCUAAUCCUUUCUUUCUCUCUAUCUUUUGAGUUUAAAAUUGGAAUGAAAAAUGUGAUUGAUCCAUUCCUUGGCGAGGCAACUAUUGUUGCAGCCGUGGUGGGUAAAUCCUUUCUCUUUGUUUUUUAAUUUUAAUUCUCGAAUUCUGAAAAUGUAAAUGUCUAGUUUCUAGAUGUUAUAAUAUUUGUUAUUUGAGUUUACAUGACAUGCUGAAAAUGUGUAUGGAUAUGUUUUUUUUUUUGGCAGAGGUACUGUAUUUGAAGCCAUGUUGGAGUGGGCCAAUCCUUUCUUUCUCUUUCUAUUUUAGUUUCCAAAUUGGAAAAUGCAAGAAUGUGAAUUGCCCAAUUCCUUGGCAAGGCAACUGUAGUUGCAACCGUGGUGGGUAAAUCAUUUCUUUUUGUUUUUAUUCGGAAAUCUCGAAUGCUGGAAUUUUGAUAUUCUAGUUUCUAAAGGUUUACAAUUUUCUCAAUUUUAGGUAACAUGACAUGUACAGAAUGUGAUUGAUAUGUUUCUUGCGUGUGUAACAGAGUUGCAGCCACAAGGGUCAAUCCUUUCUUUCUCUCUAUCAUUUGAGUUUAAAAUUGGAAUACUAAGAAUGUGUUUGACCCAUUCCUUAGCAAGGCAACUGUAGUUGCAGCCGUGGUGGGUAAUCAUUUCUCUUUAUUCUUUAAUUUUAAAUCUCGAAUACUGAGAAUGUAAUUGUCCAAUUUUUAGAUGUUACAAUAUUUUUUAUUUGAAUUCACAUGACAUGUUGAGAAUGGGAUUGGUAUGUUUUUUGGCGGGGGUAACUGUAGUUGCACCCACAGUGGGCCAAUCCUUUCUUUCUCUUUAUCCUUUGAGUUUAAAAUUGAAAUGCUAAGAAUGUGAUUGACCGUGAUGGGUAAACCACUUCUCUUUAUUUUUUAAUUUUAUAUCUUGAAUGCUAAGAAUUCGAUUGUCUAGUUUCUAGAUGUUACAAUAUUUCUUCUUUGAGUUCAAAUAACAUGUUGAGAAUGUGAUUGAUAUGUUUCUUGGCGGGGUAACUAUAGUCGUUGCCAUAAUGGGCUUCUGCUUUCUUUCACUCUCUUUUGAGUUUAAAAUUGAAAUAUUAAGAAUGUGAUUGACCCAUUUCUUGGCGAGGCAACUCUAGUUGCAGCCGUGGUGGUAAAUCAUCUCUCUUUGUUUUUUAAUUUUAAAUCUUAAAUUGUGAGAAUGUUAUUGUCUAGUUUUUAGAUGUUAUAAUAUUUCUUAUUUGAGUUUAUAUGACAUGUUGAGAAUGUGAUUAAUAUGUUUCUUGGCGGGGGUAACUGUAGUUGCAGCCACAGUGGGCCAAUCCUUUCUCUCUCUCUCUUUUGAGUUUAAAAUUAUAAUGCUAAGAAUGUGAUUGACCCAUUUUUUAGCAAGGCAAAUGUAGUUGCAGCCGUGGUGGAUAAAAUUAUUUCUCUUUAUUUUUAAAUUUUAAAUCUCGAAUAUUGAGAAUUUGAUUGUCUAAUUUCUAAAUGUGACAAUAUUUCUUAUUUGAGUUCAUGUGACAUGUUGACAAUGUAAUUGAUAUGUUUCUUGGCAGGGGUAACUGUAGUUGCAGCCAUAGUGGGCGAACACUUUCUUUCUCUCUUUUGAGUUUAAACUUGAAAUGCUAAGAAUGUGAUUGACUCACUCCUUGGUGAGGCAAA